UUGAAUUAAUUUAGAGUGGGUUGUUGCUGGCUUAAAUAAACUUUAGGCAUGUGCACACCUUCUCUUAAAUCCAUAUACACCUGUGAACUUGUGAGGCAGGGAGGGAGAGAGGCCUUGAUUGGCCUGAUUCUUUCCUGCCUAUUUUACACAAACUCAUUUAAUUUAAACUGAAUGUAAUUGAUGUAACGCAUCAUUUAAUAC
rnacentral:misc_RNA from 1 species